GAUGAACGCUGGCGGCGCGCCUAAUACAUGCAAGUCGAGCGAACGGACGAGAAGCUUGCUUCUCUGAUGUUAGCGGCGGACGGGUGAGUAACACGUGGAUAACCUACCUAUAAGACUGGGAUAACUUCGGGAAACCGGCGCUAAUACCGGAUAAUAUUUUGAACCGCAUGGUUCAAAAGUGAAAGACGGUCUUUCUGUCACUUAUAGAUGGAUCCGCGCUGCAUUAGCUAGUUGGUAAGGUAACGGCUUACCAAGGCAACGAUGCAUAGCCGACCUGAGAGGGUGAUCGGCCACACUGGAACUGAGACACGGUCCAGACUCCUACGGGAGGCAGCAGUAGGGAAUCUUCAGCAAUGGGCGAAAGCCUGACGGAGAAACGCCGCGUGAGUGAUGAAGGUCUUCGGAUCGUAAAACUCUGUUAUUAGGGAAGAACAUAUGUGUAAGUAACUGUGCACAUCUUGACGGUACCUAAUCAGAAAGCCACGGUUAACUACGUG
rnacentral:rRNA from 1 species